AUUAAUUUCUCCUUUUAAUUUUAGAAUUUCAAGUUUAGUAAUUGAUUGGGCAUUUUUAAUUUGGUCUUUUUCUAGCUUUUUAAGUUGCAAGCCCAAUUCAUUGACCUUCUCUUUCUCUAUUUUGUUCAAGUAAGCCUCUAAGGAUGUAAAGUUUCCCCUUAUUACCGCUUUGGCUGCAUCCCACACAUUUUGGUAUGAUGUCUCACUGUUGUCAUUAUCUUGGUGAAGUUAUUAAUUGUGUCUAUAAUUUGCUGUUUCACCCAAUCAUUCUUUAAGAUGAGAUUAUUUAGUUUCCAAUUACUUUUGAUUUAUUUUACACUAACUUUUGGUUGAAUGUAUUUUUAUUGCAUUGUGAUCUGAAAAGCAUUUACUACUACCUUCCUGCAUUUAAUUUUGAGGUCUUUAUGUCCUAAUAUUGGUCAAUUUUGUGUAGGUUCCAUGAGCUGCUGAGAAGAAAGUAUACUCCUUUCUGUCACCAUUCAGUUUUCUCCAGAGAUCUAUCAUACCUAAUUUUUCUAAUAUUCUAUUUACCUCUUUAAUUUCUUUCAUAUUUGUUUUGUGAUUUGAUUUAUCUAAAUCUGAGAGUGCAAGAUUGAGGUCUCCCACUAUUAUAGUUUUGCUGUCUAUUUCUUCUUGUAACUCUCUUAACUUCUCCUUAGGAAGUUAGAUGCUAUACCACUUGGUGCAUAUAUGUUUUAAUACUGAUAUUGCUUCAUUGUCUAUAGUACCUUUUAGCAAGAUAUAGUUUCCUUCCUUAUCUCUUUUAAUUAGAUCCAAUUUUGCUUUUACUUGAUCGAGAUAAAGAUGCUACCCUGCUUUUUGAUUUUGCCUGAAGCAUAAUAGGUUUCUCCCAGCCUUUUACCUUUACUCUGUAUGUAUCUCCCUGUUUCAAAUGUGUUUCCUGUAAACAACAUAUUGUAGGGUUCUGACUUUUGAUCCAGUCUGCUAUCCACCUUUUUUUUUAUGGGAGUUCAUCCCAUUCAUAUUUACAGUUAAAAUUACUAAUUAUGUAUUUCCUGCCGUCCUAAUAUCUCCAGAUUAUGCUUUUAUUUUUCUUGCCCUCCUUCCCCCCUUCCUUAGUAUUAAACUUAUUGGUCCCACUUGUGUCACCCAGCUUUCCCUCUUUAGUAUCCCUCCCUCCUCCCUUUGAAUCCCUUCCCCUUUCUUGUACCCUUCCCUUAUUACUCUUUUUUCCUUUUGCCUUUUCCUCUCCCACUUUUUAAUGAGGUGGGAGAAGAUUCUAUAAAACAAAUGUGUAAUUAUUUCCUCUUUGAGCCAACUCUGAUGGAGUAAGAUUCGCCAAUGUUCCUUCCCUCUCUAAGUUCCCUCAGAUAUGAUAGAUUUCCUUUGCCUCAUGGACACAUGUAAUUUCCCUCUUUUUAUCUCCCUUUCCCCUUUUUCUGACACUAUCCUCUUUCCAUUUCUAUUUCCCUUUUUUAUGCCAUAUCAGUAAAAUCAAAUUAUACAUGUGAUUUUUAUGUAUAUCCACAACAGAAAUACAGUUUUCAAGAGUUCCUUUUACCUUUUUCUACUUGUCUUGCGUCCUGUUGUUGGAGAUCAAAUUUUUUGUUUAAAUCUGGUUUUUUCCUUAGAAACAGAUGGAAUUCCUCUGUUUCAUUAAAUGUCCAUCUUCUUCCAUGGAAAAAAUGCUCAGCUUACCUGAAUAGUUUAUUCUUGGCUGUAUUCCAAGUUAUUUUGCCUUUGGGAAUAUUAAAUUCCAGGCCCUUCGAUCGUUUAAUGUUGAGGCAGCCAGAUCUUGUGUGACCCUUAUUGUGGCACCUUGGUAUUUGAACUGUUUUUUCCUGGCUGCUUGUAGAAUUUUUUCUUUAGUCUGAAAAUUCUGAAGUUUGGCCACAAUAUUCCUCAGAGUCUUUAUUUUAGGGUCUUUUCCAGAAGAUGUUCUAUGGAUUCGUUCCACGCCUAUUUUAUCUUCCGGUUCUAUUAUUUCUGGGCAGUUCUCUUUAAUGAUUUCCUGUAAAAUAGUAUCUAGGCUCUUUUUUUAAUCAUAAUUUUCAGGUAGUCCGAUGAUCCUUAGGUUUCUCUCCUAGAUCUGUUUUCCAGGUUUGUUGUUUUUUCAAGUAAAUAUUUGACAUUUUUUCCAAUCUUUCAUUUUUUUUGGUUUUGCUUGACUGAUUCUUCCUGUCUCAAUGAAUCAGUCAUUUCUAUUUGUUCAGUUCUGAUUUUUAGUGUGUUAUUUUCUUCAUUAGCUUUUUUUUUUUACUUCUUUUUGUAUAUGUAUGAUUGAGUUUUUAAAUAAGUAAUUUUGUUCUAUGGAAUUUUUUCCAUUUCACUAAUUUUUUUAGUAAGUUAUUUUCUUUCUCAAUUCACAAAUUCUGUUUCCCUGAACUUCUUGGGAGUUUUUACCUUUUCAAUUCACAUUUCAGGAAGUUGUUUUUCUUUUCCACUUUAUCAAUUUUUCUUUUAGUGAGUUAUAUGUCUUUUCUGUACUCUCUUGCAUACCUUCUCUUUCCUUUCCCCAUUUUUCUUUAGUUCUCUUUUAAGAUUUUUAAUAGUCUCUUCUAGGAGAGCCUUUUGUAUUAGGGACUAACAAUUGUCUGGAGACUGUCUGCUAUUAGUCUCUUCAGGGUUGAAAAGCUGUUCUCUUUCUGAAUAGAAACUAUCAAUAGUCCUUUUGAUUUUUUUACUCAUUUUGUUAAAGCCUGUAGGGUCUGCCUUCAGGGCCAGGAGGUUACUCUUCCUUUGCAGCUUCCUCUGCAGAGCAGUGAAAGGUGUAUGGAUGGUAAGCUGUCCUGCUAGUCGGCUGCAAAAGCAUAGGGUACUGGGUGCCUGGGAAAGAGUUCCCCACUGGGAGUAACUCAGGCCUGCAGGGCAAAGCUGGGAAAGUGCCCUGAAAGAACACCUUCCCUCCCCAUGAUGUGUGAGAUAAUGACUGGGGCUAGAUGCUGAGCAGUGAGAGUUUCACUAUCCCAAGCCAAAUCCCACCCUGGGGCUGUGGGUAUUAGCAGUUGAGCAGUGAAUGGAUUUGCAUGGACCAGAAGUGUCUCUGUCUGGGGAAGCACAGUCCUGCUGGGGAAGUUCUAUUGCCCCAGGCUGAGGCCCCACUGUGCUGAUUAGAGGCUGCCCAGGCUGUGCCCCUGCUGUGGGGGUUUGUAACUGCCCCCUGCAAAGCCUCGAACUGCAGGAUGUGGCUGCAGGGCUGCAUUUCCAGUCUGCCUGAGUCACUUCCAGGUUUGGCUAGCUACAGCCAGAUCUUGUUAGGUUCUGGCGUUUUUUAGAGUACCCUCUGUUUUGGGUUUUAAUUUCUCUGCCAGUUUACUGCUUUGUAAUCAAGGCAGAGCAGUUAGCUAUAGCAGAGUGAUCUCUAUAACUUCUCUAGCCACAGAGAUCACCCGCCCUGGUCUGCUCAGGAUACUAGUCUCUCACUGCCUGUGCUAAUCUGUUCCUGGCCCCUCAGGACAAAUCUUUCCUGGUGAUCUUCCAGAUUGACUUCAGCUAGGUAAGUUGUAUGCUUCUGAUCUUCAUGAAUUUAAGCAAUGAAGAGCUAUUUCUGAGCUGGAUAAAAAUAGUUGGUUAUGAGGGGAAUGAGAGGAGCUUAGAAAGUCGCAUGUGCCUUCUCCGCCAUCUUGGCUCCGCCCCUGUUUGGCUGAUUCUUAAUGUCUAAUUGAGUCAUUCACUUCCACCUGUCCAAUUCUAAUUUUUAGUGAAUUACUUUCUUCAGUUAGCUUUUAUCUCCUUUUGCAUUUGGCCAAUUAUAUUUUUAAAGGAAUUAUUUUGUUCAGUGGAUUCCUUAUUCCAUUUCUCCAAUUUUAUUGUUUAAAUUGUUUUCUUCAGUCUGUGCUUUCCCUUUACAAGUUGUUGACUUUCCCCAAAAACAACUUUCAUAAUUCUCCUGCAUAACUCUUAUUUCUUUUCCCCAUUUUUUCUUAUCGCUCUUUUAAGAUCCUUUUGAACUGUUUCAAGAGAAUCUUUUGAGCUUGCGACCAGUUGCUUUAUCUCCUUUUACCAUCUUUCUUGUCUUCUUCCCGCUCAUUCUCUCCUUCCUUCUUUUAAAAAGCUUUUUAUUAAAGUUUUUUAUUUACAAAGCAUAUGCAUGGGUAAUUUUUUCCAACAUUGAUCCUUGUAUAACCGUUUGUUGCAAAUUUUCCCUUCCUUACCCCCACCCUCCCUAGCUGUCAGAUAUUGACAAAUAUGUUGAAAUAAAUGUUAGAUCCAAUACAUGUAUACAUAUUUAUACAGUUAUCUUGUUGCACAAGAGAAAUCAGGUCAAGAAGGAAGAAAAAGAAAAACUGAGAAAAAACACAAUGCAAGCAAAUAACAACAGAGAGAGUGAGAAUUCUAGGUUGCAUUAAGGGACAGGUCAAUUCUCUGAGAAUCUCCACAGCUGUGGAUGACAGCGUCUGAAGUAGUUGCAGGGCAGCCUUUGUUGGCACAGGUGUUGCAGACUGGGAAUUAGUUAAAUUUGAGGCAAAAGGAAGAGGAGAGAGGUCAGACAAGGCAACUGGCCUUUCAGUCAUCAUCCUCUCACAAGAGGAGAUCAUUCUGCAAGUCUGGGUUGGAUCUCCAGCAUUCACUGUCAGGUGGCUCCCUCAUUACAAUAUAUGGCACCCAACAUGUGACAUAAGAAGCACAAGAAUUACAAGAAGAAGCAGCAGUGUUUGAGAGCUGGUUGUGACAAGGAUCCUUCCAGAUUUCCUUCAGUAACCCACAGGGAAGGAAAGGAAGAAGAGCCCCGGUAAGACUUUUUAAGUCGGGGUAAUUAAAUGGGCCAACACAUCAAAGGGCUGAGCCAGGAGACUGAUGAGAGACAUAAAUCCCUGUUCUGACACCAGUCCUCUUCUCCAUUUGAAAGUUUGCCUCCAUGAUAAGAUCAAUACCUGCUGCAACCAUCCAGAAGUGAUAGUGCUGCUUGCAUUCCUCAGUGUGCGGACCAUGCUGUGGGAGAAAAAUAACAGCAAAAAACAAAAAAUGGGGAAUUGUUAAGGGGCAAGUUAAUUCUCUGAGAGCCUCCACAGCUGUGGAUCAUAGCAUCUGAAGGAGCUGCAGGGCAGCCUUUGCUGACAGAGGUGUUGUGGGCUGUGAAUGAGAUAAAAUGGAGGCAGAGGGAAGAGGAAAGAGAUCAGAAAACACAAAUCAGUCAGAGAGGUCAGAGAACAGCAACUGCCUCUCAGUCUUCUUGUAUCAUCCUCUCACACGAGGAGAUCCAUUCUACAUUCUGGCACUAUUCUGCAGCCACUGUCAGGUGGCUCCUGUGACACAACAAUGUUGUGGUCCACACUUAAUUUCCAUGGUUCUCUCUGGCUGUAGAUAAGUGUAGAGUAGGUAAUGAAGAAACUAAAUUAUCACUCUUCGCAGAAGAUAUGAUGGUAUACUUAGAGAAUCAUAGAGAAUCAACUUAAAAACCAUUAGAAAUAAUCCACCACUUUAACAAAGUUGCAGGACAAAAAAUAAAUCCACAUAAAUCUUCAGCAUUUUUAUAUGUCACUAACUAAACCCAAUAGUAAGAGAUACAAAGAGAAAUUCCAUUUAAAAUAGCUGUCAAAGGGAUAAAAUGUUUGGGAAUCUAUCUGCCAAGGGAAAGUCAGGAAUUGUAUGAGCAAAACUACAAAAUACUUUCUACACAAAUAAAGUAAGAUUUAAACAACUGGAAAAACAUCAAGUGCUCUUGGAUAAGUCAAGCAAAUAUAAUAAAGAUGACAAUACUACCUAAAUUAAUCUUUUUAUUUUGCGCUAUACCAAUCAAACUCCCAAGAAACUAUUUUACUGAUCUAGAAAAAAAUAACAACAAAAUUCAUCUGGAAGAACAGAACGUCCAGAAUGUCAAGGGAAUUAAUGAAAAAAAAAAGCAAUUAAGGUGGCCUAUCAGUACCAGAUCCAAAACUAUAUUAUAAACCAAUAAUCAUCAAAACCAUUUACUAGCUAAGAAAUAUACUAGUUGAUCAGUGGAAAAGGUUAGAUUCAUAGAACAAAAAACUAUAGCAAUCUAGUGUUUGAGAACCCCAAAAACCCCAGCUUUUAGGAUAAAAAUUCACGAUUUGACAAAAACUGCUGGGAAAAUUGGAAAUUAAUAUGGCAGAAACUAGGCACUGAACCACACCUAACAUCAUAUACCAAGAUAAGAUUGAAAUGCAUUCGUGACAUAGACAUAAGGAAUGAUAUUGUAAACAAUUAGAAGAACAUAGGAUAACAUAGGAUACUUAAUCUCUCAGCUAUGUGGAGGAGGAAGGAAUUUGUGACCAGAGGAAGAACUAGAGAUCAUUAUUGAUCACAAAAUAGAUAAUUUUGAUUAUAUUAAGUUAAAAAUUCUGUAUACAAACAAGAAGGGAAGCAAUAAACUGGGAAGACAUUUUUACAUUCAAAGAUUCUGAUAAAGGUCUCAUUUCUAAAAUACAUAGAAAAUUGACUCAAUAUAAGAAUUCAAGCUAUUCUCCAAUUGAUAAAUAGUCCAAGGAUAUGAACAGAUAAUUUUCAGAUGAUGAAAGGGUGUUCCAACUCACUAUUGAUCAGAGAUGCAAAUUAAAAACAACUCUGAGAUACCACUACACACCUGUCAGAUUGGCUAAGAUGAGAGGAAAAGAUAAUGAUGUAUGUUGUAGAAGUUGUUGAAAAACUGGGCUGUUGAUAUAUUAUUGGUGGAGCUGUGAACAGAUCCACCCAUUCUGGAGAGCAAUUUGGAACUAUGCUCAAAGGGUUAUCAAGUGGUGCAUACCCUUUGACCCAACAAUAUUUCUACUGGGCAUAAUAUCCAAAAGAGAUUUUAAAGGAAGGAAAGGGUCCCACAUGUGCAAAAAUGUUUGUGGCAGCCCUUUUUGUGGUGGCAUGAAACUGGAAACUGAAUGGAUGCCCAUCAAUUGGAGAAUGGUUGAAUAAUAUUGUUCUGUAAGACACGACCAAUAGAAUGAUUUUAGAGAGGCCUGGGGAGACUUACAGGAACUGCUGUUAGGUGAAAUGAAUAGAACCAGGAGAUCAAUGAACACAACCAGGAGAUCAUUAUACACAGUAACAACAAAACUACACAAUGAUCAAUUCUGAUGGAUGUGACUCUCUUUAACAAUGAGAUGAUUCAAACUAGUUCCAUUUGUUCAGUGAUGAAAAGAGCCAUCUACACCCAGAGAGAGAACUGUGGGAGCUGAGUGAGACCACAACAUAGCAUUCUCAUUCUUUCUGUUGUUGUUUGCUUGCAUUUUUUUUCUUUCCCAGGUUUUUUUCCUUCUUGAUCCGAUUUUUUUCUUGUGUAGCAAGAUAAGUGAAUAAAUGUGUGUGUGUAUUGGAUUUAACAUAUAUUUUAACAUAUUUAACAUGUAUUGGACUACCUGUCAUCUAGAGGAGAGGGUUGGGGAUGGAGAAGAUAAUUUGGAACAGAAGGCUUUGCAAGGGUCAAUGUUGAAAAAUUACUCAUGCAUGUUUUGUAAAUAAAAAGCUUUAAUUUAAAAAAGCAAUAACAAGAAUUUUUUUCAUGAGAACAUUUUCUUGGGAGUCACCCUGAUCAUUAUAAAGAUUCACCCUGAAUGUUUCCUCACUUCCUUGUUAUCUUCAGGGUUAUAUUCUUCUUAAGAGAUAGAACAGAGAAGUGGUAAGCCAGCAUCCUGAAUAGCUUUCUCCACCAGAAUGAAAGUGUGUAGAAAGCAUAGUUAAACUGAUAAAAAAAACCAAGGUUUGAUUGUAACUUGGGAGCAGAUCAUUGGACUUUUAGAAACAUUACAGUAUGUUAUAGAACAGACCUUGAAACAAGGUGCUAAGUCAGUGGAAUUGAUACAGACAAUAGUUAUCUAAUUUAGCAUGGUGCGUAACAGUUCUUUAAUUCAGUACAUGUACUUAGUACUUAAAAUAGUUCUACAAGAUUCAUAUUUUUGAUAAGAGACCAUAUAAGCUCGGACAAGCUCAGCUAGAAUCAGAAUGAGGGAAGACCAGAGAAAUGGUAGCAGGCUGUCCUCCUUUGCUUCUCCACUAAAACCAAGAUCUAGAAGGCUUCCAGAAAAAUUGGCCAAGCCCCAAGUGAAGGAGAUAAGACUUUGAAGGAGACAAUAAGGAUUUGGACUUUAAUCCCUGGUUGCACUUGUAGUGAUUACUGAACUGAAACGAAGACUGCUUCCAGAGACCCCAAGAAAACCUCAAUAGAGAAUAUUACAUUUUAGAUAGAAUAUUACAAUCAGUACUCGUCUCCUUGGUUCUCCAAGGAAGAAGAAUUAGAGCCAGAGAAGUGGAAACUAGUAGGAGAGCAAUUAAGUGAAUAUUACAAUGAUAAUGGUCCUGAUACAAUUCCUAAAGAAAAAAAUCUAUACAUAUAACUUAAUACAAUUGGCUUUAGGGAAUUACAUAACUUACAGAAUAAGGAAAAAGAAGUGCAGGAGGGAGAGGGUACUAAUAUAGCAGCUGAAGAGCAUAAAGAAUUAGACAAGAAAGAAGUUAAGUACAAAGCUGAUGAAAUAAAGGAGUGUGGUGAUUCACUGCAGGAGUCAUUA
ensembl:lncRNA